rnacentral:rRNA from 1 species
CCUACGGGUGGCAGCAGUGGGGAAUAUUGGACAAUGGGGGGAACCCUGAUCCAGCCAUGCCGCGUGUGUGGAGAAGGCCCUCGGGUUGUAAAGCACUUUCAGUGAGGAAGAACGCCUGGUGGUUAAUACCCAUCAGGAAAGACAUCACUCACAGAAGAAGCACCGGCUAACUCCGUGCCAGCAGCCGCGGUAAUACGGAGGGUGCGAGCGUUAAUCGGAAUUACUGGGCGUAAAGCGCGCGUAGGUGGCUUGAUAAGCCGGUCGUGAAAGCCCCGGGCUCAACCUGGGAACGGCAUCCGGAACUGUCAAGCUAGAGUGCAGGAGAGGAAGGUAGAAUUCCCGGUGUAGCGGUGAAAUGCGUAGAGAUCGGGAGGAAUACCAGUGGCGAAGGCGGCCUUCUGGACUGACACUGACACUGAGGUGCGAAAGCGUGGUUAGCAAACAGGAUUAGAUACCCUAGUAGUC